rnacentral:rRNA from 1 species
CUUUGGACAAUGGUAGGAGAGCGUUCUAAGGGCGUUGAAGCAUGAUCGUAAGGACAUGUGGAGCGCUUAGAAGUGAGAAUGCCGGUGUGAGUAGCGAAAGACGGGUGAGAAUCCCGUCCACCGAUUGACUAAGGUUUCCAGAGGAAGGCUCGUCCGCUCUGGGUUAGUCGGGUCCUAAGCUGAGGCCGACAGGCGUAGGCGAUGGAUAACAGGUUGAUAUUCCUGUACCACCUAUAAUCGUUUUAAUCGAUGGGGGGACGCAGUAGGAUAGGCGAAGCGUGCGAUUGGAUUGCACGUCUAAGCAGUAAGGCUGAGUAUUAGGCAAAUCCGGUACUCGUUAAGGCUGAGCUGUGAUGGGGAGAAGACAUUGUGUCUUCGAGUCGUUGAUUUCACACUGCCGAGAAAAGCCUCUAGAUAGAAAAUAGGUGCCCGUACCGCAAACCGACACAGGUAGUCAAGAUGAGAAUUCUAAGGUGAGCGAGCGAACUCUCGUUAAGGAACUCGGCAAAAUGACCCCGUAACUUCGGGAGAAGGGGUGCUCUUUAGGGUUAACGCCCAGAAGAGCCGCAGUGAAUAGGCCCAAGCGACUGUUUAUCAAAAACACAGGUCUCUGCUAAACCGUAAGGUGAUGUAUAGGGGCUGACGCCUGCCCGGUGCUGGAAGGUUAAGAGGAGUGGUUAGCUUCUGCGAAGCUACGAAUCGAAGCCCCAGUAAACGGCGGCCGUAACUAUAACGGUCCUAAGGUAGCGAAAUUCCUUGUCGGGUAAGUUCCGACCCGCACGAAAGGCGUAACGAUUUGGGCACUGUCUCAACGAGAGACUCGGUGAAAUCAUAGUACCUGUGAAGAUGCAGGUUACCCGCGACAGGACGGAAAGACCCCGUGGAGCUUUACUGUAGCCUGAUAUUGAAAUUCGGCACAGCUUGUACAGGAUAGGUAGGAGCCUUUGAAACGUGAGCGCUAGCUUACGUGGAGGCGCUGGUGGGAUACUACCCUAGCUGUGUUGGCUUUCUAACCCGCACCACUUAUCGUGGUGGGAGACAGUGUCAGGCGGGCAGUUUGACUGGGGCGGUCGCCUCCUAAAAGGUAACGGAGGCGCUCAAAGGUUCCCUCAGAAUGGUUGGAAAUCAUUCAUAGAGUGUAAAGGCAUAAGGGAGCUUGACUGCGAGACCUACAAGUCGAGCAGGGUCGAAAGACGGACUUAGUGAUCCGGUGGUUCCGCAUGGAAGGGCCAUCGCUCAACGGAUAAAAGCUACCCCGGGGAUAACAGGCUUAUCUCCCCCAAGAGUUCACAUCGACGGGGAGGUUUGGCACCUCGAUGUCGGCUCAUCGCAUCCUGGGGCUGUAGUCGGUCCCAAGGGUUGGGCUGUUCGCCCAUUAAAGCGGUACGCGAGCUGGGUUCAGAACGUCGUGAGACAGUUCGGUCCCUAUCCGUCGUGGGCGUAGGAAAUUUGAGAGGAGCUGUCCUUAGUACGAGAGGACCGGGAUGGACAUACCUCUGGUGUACCAGUUGUCGUGCCAACGGCAUAGCUGGGUAGCUAUGUGUGGACGGGAUAAGUGCUGAAAGCAUCUAAGCAUGAAGCCCCCCUCAAGAUGAGAUUUCCCAACUUCGGUUAUAAGAUCCCUCAAAGAUGAUGAGGUUAAUAGGUUCGAGGUGGAAGCAUGGUGACAUGUGGAGCUGACGAAUACUAAUCGAUCGAAGACUUAAUCAAAA